rnacentral:rRNA from 1 species
UGGGGAAUUUUGCGCAAUGGGCGAAAGCCUGACGCAGCAACGCCGCGUGGAGGAUGAAGGCCUUCGGGUCGUAAACUCCUGUCGAUGGGGACGAAAGCCUAGCAAUAGGAUUGACUGUACCCGUUGAGGAAGCCACGGCUAACUCCGUGCCAGCAGCCGCGGUAAUACGGAGGUGGCAAGCGUUGUUCGGAAUUACUGGGCGUAAAGGGCGCGUAGGCGGCAUUACAAGUCAGAUGUGAAAGCCCCGGGCUUAACCUGGGAAUUGCAUCUGAGACUGUAUAGCUUGAGUUCUGGAGGGGGUAGUGGAAUUCCCAGUGUAGCGGUGAAAUGCGUAGAUAUUGGGAGGAACACCUGCGGCGAAGGCGGCUACCUGGACAGUGACUGACGCUGAGGCGCGAAAGCUAGGGGAGCGAACAGG